GGCUGUUCCUAUGGUAGUGGGUUAUCAGAAUUUAUUAACAUUAGUGUCACUAAAGUUGGUAUUCAACCCCCACUGCUAAAUUUGACUGACUAAA
rnacentral:Y_RNA from 1 species